UUUAUGUGAAUUUCUAACAGAGGAGUCUGAUAAUUGGGACUCUGAAGUAGCAGCACUCUUCGUUCUUCUUUAUUUAAUCCCCCCAGCUGCCCAAGGGAGAGGAAAAGGGAGUCGGUGUACAAUUGAUGAAGCAAAGAAUUUGCUGAUCUCAUUUUAUAAGACUGCAACUCCUCUACCAUCCAUCCUGGAUACUUGGAGCGAGGAUAAGAGACAACCAAACCUUUUGUGUCUUGGAGAAAACAAGAAAACACUUUCUUCCUUUUAUCUCGUUGUAGAUAAAGUACUGCUGCCAAUUGACGCUAAGAAUUCUGCACAAGCAAUUGACCUCCUCUUCAAAUCACACUACGUCUUCGGAGCAGAAUACGACAAGAACUUGCAAGGCCUAUGGAAAUUUCUUCAAGUUUAUAUUUAUAAGGUUGACGUGGACAGUACUGAUCUUUCGGGAAAGGUGAAAAGUGUUUUUACUCAAUUAAGUAAUAUUUUUAAUAAUCUCAUUUAAAAAAAUGUUUACUUGCCCAGUCUGUCAGAUAUUAGUUUUAAGGGCGAGUGAGUUUCAAACUCAUUUAAAAUUUGUACAUAAUUAUGGACACAGUAAUUUUCCUCAAUUAAUUUGCCCUUUUAGUUCAUGUAAUAUAACGUUAGGGACAUGGAGUGGAUUUUUACGUCAUGUAAAGUCACACGAUAAGUUUCUAGAAAUAGGCUCCCAGAUACCAAAUCUAUUUUUUGAGCCAACUUUAAAUAGUUCCAAUUUUAGUGAAGCUCAACAAGAGAUUAAUAUUGACUUUGAGGAUCCCAAAACUUUUGAAAAUAUCUCCGUUGA